rnacentral:lncRNA from 1 species
AAGAGUUCAGUUUAGGGUUUAAAACCCUAAUGCUGACUAAAGUAAAAGUUCAGUUUAGGGUUUAAAACCCUAAUGCUGACUAAAGGGAAAAAGUUCAGUUCAGGGUUUAAAACCAUAAUGCUGACUAAAGGAGAAGUUCAGUUUAGGGUUUAAAAUCCUAAUGCUGACUAAAGGAAAAGUUCAGUUUAGGGUUUAAAACCCUAAUGCUGACUAAAGGAAAAGUUCAGUUUAGGGUUUAAAACCCUAAUGCUGACUAAAGGAAAGAGUUCAGUUCAGGGUUUAAAACCUUAAUGCUGACUAAAGGAAAGAGUUUAGUUUAGAGUUUAAAACCCUAAUGCUGACUAAAGGAAAAGUUCAGUUUAGGGUUUAAAACCCUAAUGCUGACUAAAGGAAAGAGUUCAGUUCAGGGUUUAAAACCCUAAUGCUGACUAAAGGAAAGAGUUCAGUUCUGGGUUUAAAACCCUAAUGCUGACUAAAGGAAAGAGUUCAGUUUAGGGUUUAAAACCCUAAUGCUGACUAAAGGAAAGAGUUCAGUUUAGGGUUUAAAACUCUAAUGCUGACUAAAGG